rnacentral:rRNA from 1 species
CAGCAGUCGCCACGGUAAUACAGAGGGUGCGAGCGUUAAUCGGAUUUACUGGGCGUAAAGCGUGCGUAGGCGGCUUCUUAAGUCGGAUGUGAAAUCCCUGAGCUUAACUUAGGAAUUGCAUUCGAUACUGGGAAGCUAGAGUAUGGGAGAGGAUGGUAGAAUUCCAGGUGUAGCGGUGAAAUGCGUAGAGAUCUGGAGGAAUACCGAUGGCGAAGGCAGCCAUCUGGCCUAAUACUGACGCUGAGGUACGAAAGCAUGGGGAGCAAACAGGAUUAGAUACCCGAGUAGUCCCUGUCUCUUAUAC